GGAAUGAUAGCUCAGCGGUAGAGCAAUUGAUUGCAGUUCAAUAGGCCAUGGGUUCGAUUCCCAUUCGUUCCU